CAUACAAACUAGUAGACAACACGAUUUCACUUAGGAAUUUUAACGAGCACCUUGUAGGCGAGAUUCAUACGCAUCUAUUAUCCAAUUCAUGGUUAACCAUUAACCAAGUUUUAACAUCAAAAUCAAACCUCUAUGUCUUGUGUGCAUUAAGCACAUCUAGAACUUAUAUCUCAUCAUCAAUUUUUUUCUCAGAUUUACCAUCACUUUUCAAGUGUUCAUCAUAAUAUCAUAAAAAUCCACUUAACACAUAUAUGGGUAAUCAUUCAAUCUCUAAUUUAUGACACUAAUUUAUCAAGUUCUCAUCUAGGGUUUGUUCCUAGACUCAUACUCAUAUCAAUUCAACUAUAAUAUUCAUCAUGCACACAAGAAUUUCGUUCAUGAAUGUUUAUCCAAAUUUCAAGAUAUCACCAAAUGAUAAAAUUCGACAUACCUUGUGAUCUCCUAGCAUGGUUGAUCAUGAAUUUAGUUAAAGCCCUAAUUUCCAACUCGAUUUCCCUUAGAUUUUGAUGGAUUUUAGUGAGUUUAGGUUAAAGCCCUAAUUUCCAACU
rnacentral:lncRNA from 1 species